GAGCAGGGAUGAGCUGAGCCCACAGAACCCCACAUUUUCCAGCCCCAAAUAUUCCCUGUUAGUCGGUCCAUAUGAAAGGCUCUUCCCAGACAGAAAGGGGGAACAUUGAACCCCUAAAAUUGCUGUAAAAAUCAAUGGGAAAAAACACAUUUUGGGAGUUGAUGUCCUUGUGGGAUCCAAUGCUGGAACUCUGUCACUCCAAAGAGUCAGGAAUGAAGGGAAUGGCACCAACCAGUCACUUCCAGAGGUGCCAAAACCCCCCAAAAUCCCAAAAAUUCCCAAGAAAACUAUGGUUUCAGCUUGAGCCAGGGGUGCAGGACGGUGAUGAUGGAGAGCACAGAGGAGCUGAGCCCACACAACCCCACACUUUCCAACCCCAAAUAUUCCCUGUUA
rnacentral:lncRNA from 1 species